AUGUCCGGAGCGGGAGGCAAAUGGAUGGCCUCCUCUGUUACGGAGGGACACAUCGAGAGGCUACACGGCGCCGGAUACUUGUCCAGUGACAUCGCGCACCGGCUGCCCGACAAGGGGCAACUCAUCCCCACCCCCAGGCCCCAUGAGAGGGUCGUAUUCCUUCCCCACUUCCUCCGCGGACUGGGCUUCCCACUUCAUCCCUUCGUCCGGGGGCUCAUGUACUACUACGGCCUGGACUUUCACGAUCUGGCGCCAAACUUCAUGCUCAACAUCUCGGCGUUUAUCGUCGUGUGCGAGGCCUUUCUCUGCAUCCAGCCCCACUUCGGCUUGUGGUUAAAGACCUUCAAUGUCAAGCCGAAGGUAGUGAAGGGGAAUCAGGCGGAGUGCGGAGGCGCCAUGAUGGGUAAGAUACCCAACGUCAUCUGGCUCGAGGGCGCCUUCGUGGAAACCAUCAAGGGAUGGCAAUCGGGGUGGUUCUACAUCACCGAGCCGCGCGACCCUAAAUGGGUAGCGGCCCCCGAAUUCAGAUCUGGAAUCCCCACGCGGCUCACCUCUUGGAAGGAGAGCGGCCUGACCUGGGGCGAUUUGGAGGAGCUGACCGGACUCCAAGCAUGUAUCCAGAAGCUGGUGAACAAGAAGCUCAAGCUUGUCAACGUGGUCCAAGUCAUGCUCAUCCGCCGGAUUCUCCCGUGCCAAGAACGGGCAUUUAAAUUAUGGGAGUUCAAUCCGGCACAGCACCAAACCUUGAGCAGGCUCUUCGAUACUAGGUACGAGGAUGCCUGGAAGGUGCUUUUCAAGGGCGCCGAAGCUCCCGCAUCCGCUACUGAAGAUCGCGGAUUUCGCUCGCAGCGUUCAGCUGACGAGGACUGGAUGAAGAAGGCCGAGCAGACUAUCUGUCCGGCUCCCAUGCCAGAAGACCCAGUAGAUGCCCGUCUAGUGGGGCUGCUGGUUCCGGCACCGCAUGUGGUGCCGGAGAAGAAGGCCAAGAAGGAGGCCACGGGUACUCGAAAGAGUUCCGGUUUUCAGGUGUCCGAUGACUCCGAGGCGGAUUCCGCCCCCGAGGACGAGGAGGAGAAGAAGGCCCCUUCCCCAGUGGGGGAAGGGAAGAAAAGGAAGGCCUCCCCGGCUGGGGAGACCGAAGGGUCCAAGAGGGGAAAGCCUCUUCCCCCGGACUGUUCCACCAACGCCGGUGAUGAUGACGAGGAUUGGCCUUCAAGGGCCAAGCCCCUGGCGAAAUCUCCUGCCGAGGACGAUUUUCCCGCUUCUUCGAGCGGGUCCUUGGCUCCGUCGGAUGUGGAUUCCAUUCCGACUGCCUCCACCCCUCGCGACGCCGAGGACGCCAGGGUGGGGUCCCAGGAGGGGACCCACCAGGAGGGUGAGGCUCCGGAGGUGCCACAAGGCAACCUCCCGGACUUCGCACCGGACUCCGCCCCGGAACCCACAGUGGUUCCGCAGUCCGGCAGGCGGCCCCUUCGUAAGAAGGGCAAGACCGUGGCACCGGCGGCCUCCGUCCAACCGGAGGCGCCAGACAACUUGUUGGAGGCGCUCAACGGUGCUUCCAUCGAGGAAGAACACCGCACUAUCAUGAGUGCGGUGAUUCAGAAGGUUCAGCUCGCCAAGAGCGGGCUGACCGAAGCCUGCAGCAGCCUUCUAACAGGCUUUGAGGUAAGAAGUUUUAAAAUAUGUAAUGUAAUACCGCAUAGACAGUAG
rnacentral:rRNA from 1 species